UGGGGAAUAUUGGACAAUGGGCGAAAGCCUGAUCCAGCCAUGCCGCGUGUGUGAAGAAGGUCUUCGGAUUGUAAAGCACUUUAAGUUGGGAGGAAGGGCAGUAAGCGAAUACCUUGCUGUUUUGACGUUACCGACAGAAUAAGCACCGGCUAACUCUGUGCCAGCAGCCGCGGUAAUACAGAGGGUGCAAGCGUUAAUCGGAAUUACUGGGCGUAAAGCGCGCGUAGGUGGUUCGUUAAGUUGAAUGUGAAAGCCCCGGGCUCAACCUGGGAACUGCAUCCAAAACUGGCGAGCUAGAGUAGGGCAGAGGGUGGUGGAAUUUCCUGUGUAGCGGAGAAAUGCGUAGAUAUAGGAAGGAACACCAGUGGCGAAGGCGACCACCUGGGCUCAUACUAACACUGAGGUGCGAAAGCGUGGGGAGCAAACAGG
rnacentral:rRNA from 1 species